CUGGCACCUGCCCAGUGGCCUGGGGCAGCUGGCAGCAGGUGCCUACAGUGAGAGCCAGCCCUCAGCACUUUUCUUGAAAGAGAACAAACAGCUGGGCUGCUGGAAUCACAGAGGGAUAUUUUUUGACUACUUUGCAGAUUCCCCACCUCGAUGAAAACUGACGCCACCUUUGCUAACAGAUGGACGGACAGACGGCUGUAUGGAAAGAGUUAAGUACCUGAAGAAGCCAACACAACCUAAAAUUGCUAAUGAGAAAGUCGCUGGCCUGGAGACAGAGGAUUCUUUUUUUUCCUUU